rnacentral:miRNA from 1 species
AAGUAUUUUUGUGUUUUGUUUUUAAUUGAUGCUGUUACAUAUAUAUGUGUGUGUAUACACACACACACACACACAUAUGUAUACGCACCACACAC